UGCCUUAUAAAUACUGACAGCCAAGCGUUGGUUAUUCAUCGUCUGUUAAAGCUACUUUUUUGUGGACAGAACCUCCAAGACAGCAAUAUGAACGGGAAACUUAUGUUGGUGCUACUUUUGGUUGGAAUGCUUAUGCUAGCUUCUAUUGAAGUUGCCGAUGCAUCAUAUAGCUGUUACAAUGAGGGAGCCGGUUGUCCAGGUGGUGCAGGUUCAGUCUCUGGUUCAAACUGUGACAAUGCUUGCUCCAGAGACUUUAUGUGCUGUCAAGAUUAACAAAAUGAUGUUCUGACAUCGAAAGCUUUUGGGAUGAAACAUUUAUUAGUACUCAACAUAAAGCUCAAUGUUAUAUGUAUAUGACACAACCAAUAGAUAUUAUGGAAUUAAAUUAUAAAGUUAAAA